rnacentral:rRNA from 1 species
CACUCCUGCGGGAGGCAGCAGUGGGGAAUAUUGGACAAUGGGCGCAGGCCUGAUCCAGCCAUGCCGCGUGAGUGAUGAAGGCCCUAGGGUUGUAAAGCUCUUUCACCGGUGAAGAUAAUGACGGUAACCGGAGAAGAAGCCCCGGCUAACUUCGUGCCAGCAGCCGCGGUAAUACGAAGGGGGCUAGCGUUGUUCGGAUUUACUGGGCGUAAAGCGCACGUAGGCGGACUAUUAAGUCAGGGGUGAAAUCCCGGGGCUCAACCCCGGAACUGCCUUUGAUACUGGUAGUCUUGAGUUCGAGAGAGGUGAGUGGAAUUCCGAGUGUAGAGGUGAAAUUCGUAGAUAUUCGGAGGAACACCAGUGGCGAAGGCGGCUCACUGGCUCGAUACUGACGCUGAGGUGCGAAAGCGUGGGGAGCAAACAGGAUUAGAAACCCGGGUAGUCC